rnacentral:rRNA from 1 species
UACGGAGGGUGCAAGCGUUAAUCGGAAUUACUGGGCGUAAAGCGUGCGCAGGCGGUUUGUUAAGUCUGUUGUGAAAUCCCCGAGCUCAACUUGGGAAUUGCAAUGGAUACUGGCAGGCUGGAGUAUGGUAGAGGAAGGUGGAAUUCCCGGUGUAGCAGUGAAAUGCGUAGAGAUCGGGAGGAACACCAGCGGCGAAGGCGGCCUUCUGGACCAAUACUGACGCUCAUGCACGAAAGCGUGGGGAGCAAACAGG